AUUUUAUUAGUUUAAAAAAAACAUUAAAUUGCAAAUUUAAAAAUAAUAAAAAUUAUAAAAUU
rnacentral:tRNA from 1 species